GACCGAGCCCACUCGCCCUAGAGCCUUCGCGCACACACCUCCGGCCUCUCUCGCGCGCGCGUCCCCGGCGCUGGUCCCUUCGCCGGCGGCGGCCUAUCUCCUUCGCCACGACGGAAGAAGCUUCUACAUAAUCUGAGCUUAAUUCCUCCUUCUCGACUAGGUCUGAUUUGCGGAGCAGCUAUACUUCUCCAGGCAUUUGCCGCUUUGUUGUGUGCAACCCAGCAACACGAGAGUGGAGAAUACUUCCUGAUACACAUCCUGGGACAGAGGACCCUCGCUGUGUAACUAUUUUGGCGUUUGAUCCAUCAUGGUCACCACAGUUCUACAUCUUCAAUUUCCAUCUGGAACAUGUACUUGGUUUGAUACAAUAUCAGCACGGGGAAACUCAACAAGAUACAAGACGUCUGUAUGUGGCAUCAGUACUAUGUCUAUAUACCAUGCUACUCAGAGCUUCCAGCCCAAGAACCUUCGGUUGACUGAAUGUCAACUUCUGUUCAAUGUGCAUCUGUGGCUGUUCUGCUGCGAUUUGCUGAACCACCUUGUAUAUUACGCUGGUCGUUGUCAUCCGUGUGACAGUCCAGGAACCCUGUUUUUUUUUUUUACUUUGUUGGCGCAGAGCUUGUUUUCCUUUCUGACCAGAAGAUAAAUAAGCUUCUUUCUUACAACAUCAGCACCGGGAAAUUCAACGAGAUGUGAGACGACUUCGGUGUAGUUAGUGUCAUAUUCUGUUCUGUAUGCCACUGGGACUGCUAGCUCUCUGCUUUAGAUGCUCAACCACCUUGCAUAUUCUGGUUGUCGGUGUUAUCUAUGUGGCAGUGUGUGUGUCUAGUCCAAGAACCUUCUCUUUUUAUUUUGUUGUGAUGCCGAGUUCCUCUAGUAACCUAAAUUGUUCCCAGAUUACUACCUUGCUUAAUUUGUUAUAUGUAAGAUUACAUCGUCUUUCUUA